rnacentral:pre_miRNA from 1 species
AAUAUAAUUGUUAGGUGGUAUGGUGGUUGCAUAUUUUGUUUUUCAAAGAGCUGCCAAAUUUUUCCCAGAGUAGCUGUAGCAUUUCCCAUUUCCAUCAACAAU